ensembl:lncRNA
CUGUUCAUUUAUGCUUUAUAUAUGAUUAAUUAUAAUUUAUUAUUAGUAUGAUUAUUAUUAUUUUAUUAUCCAUGUUAUUUUUCCCCUCCAGUUCUAUCAGAUGGAAAAGCUCCACUGUCGGUACUGAAGCUCCUCAGCAGUGCAGUAGCGGCCUCUCCGUAUGUGCUAGUGACCAUCAUUCUGGCAGUGAAAUGUUACAGAGCUCGAACUGACCCUGAUGAGGACAACAGACCGUACAGAGUGAUAGAAGCUGAAGCGUCUGUCUGAGUCUCAGGGAACAGACGUGAGAAAUGCGACGUGACAAAAGAAAGAACGACUCGGAUCGGGAGGUGAGGUGAACUAACAGACUGUAUAGCCUGAAGACCUAAUGCUAAGCUAUUAAUUAAUCAUUUCUGUUUCUCAUAAUUUGGCCUUGGCUGCA